UGAAAAAAUAUUGAAAAAAUGAUUUUCCACAAGUUUUAUCUCUAUUUCAGUCUUUUUAGCGUUCGAUCUACCUACAACCGUUAGUAAAAUUAACAUAUCUAUUGUUUUUCAACUAUUUUUAUCCACUUCAACUUGUGGGGACACCAAAAGUGUCCCCACAAGUCAAGUGUCCCCACAAGUCAGGUGUGUUUUCUGGUUCAUGUCCCCACAAGUGAGUGAAAACACACACACACACACACACACACACACAGAUGAAGAAAUUGUACGAUCUAGGGUAGUUGCUUAUUUUGAAGAACACUGCGCUAAUUUGAAGUAAUCACGUAUUUCUUAGGAAAAAUUCAGUUUGACAUUUAGAAAGUUGAGAGUGUUCACUCAACUAUAUAUUUGAUGAAUUUAUAAAUCGUCAUUAUGCUGUCCCUUUUCGAUUGAUCUACAUUAAGACCAAUUUGGAUUUAUAGGUAAAAAAAUAAAGACAUGCCAAGGAAGCAGUAUAAUUUAAGCGGCUAGCUUUAGCUAUAGCUCUAGCCCUGCCGAUUUUUUUGCUUUCAGAUAAUUUAAUGUCAAACGAACACUUUGUACAUCGAUCAAUGGAAAUUCGAAUCUCGUCUAAAGUGUUUCUUACCAUGGGAGAAUUAAGUGACUGCAAGUCACAAUGAUUUGUCGACUCUCCAAUAAGUUCUGAGUCAGUUAUAACGUUAUCAUACACUUUUUAUUAUAAGAGGUUUAUUUUUCUUUUCCAGCAAUUAUCUAAUCAAAUACCAGGAUUUUUUAUGUCUUUGGUAUACUUACGGUUACGAAUUGUGUUAGUAUAAAAUUCAGAUUUAAUUUUACGCGUAUAAAUAUUAACUAAUUCAUAGAGUUUUUUAUUUCCGUUUACCGAAGUAUAAUUCAUAUAUUUUUACGCGCAUGCAUGCUUACCAUUUGUCACUAUAAUGACUGAAGACGCCUGGCUAACCUCGUCUCUCUAUAUUCUCUUCAGCUGUGGUAACUUACAUUCUGAAGAAUUGUUACACGAAUCCUGGAUUGAGACGCAUGGUUUCAUUUUAUUUCCGAAAUGUAAUGCGUAUUGGUCCAUCGCAGUAGUUGGGUUUAGCUGGUAUAAUGUGCGCACGAGCCGAAUCGGUCUAACAACAGAUCACAAUAAUCGGUUUCAUUUCAUCGUGGACACAAUUGCCUGCACAUAUAUGUCAACGUGCGAUUUGGGGGUUCAAUUGGGCCAUCUCAUCAAGAGGGAUAUGCUCUCGAACGUGUUUUAGUUAUGCAUGGCCAUGAUGUUACAAAUGUCGAACAUCAGGCUUUUUUAUUAUUAUUUUUUAUUAUUUUUAUUAUUUAUUAUUAUUAUCUAAAUAUAUUUAAACACGGUGGCCUUUCACUUGUGUGAAUUUCAAAGGUUAUUAUUGAUCCGACUGACAUGCAGAGUUUUGCACGGUUACCCAUCUUGAUAAUUAUAUUUUCCUGAGCGUAUACAUUUAAUUUAUUUGCACGAUUGCAAGAAAACAGAAAACCAAUGGAACUGAUACCUUUUAUGAAGACGUAUAAACCAAUCGGCCAUAUCUUUGUUGUGUUAAUUUUUUACAUUGUUCUGUUCAUUUUAUUGUCAGGUUUCUCGAUAUAGCAAGACGAUUUUCAACUUAACCUAUGGAACGAACAAUUAUCUAAGCGUAUGUACCAUGCUUACAAUAUUUUAUUAGACUUUUAGACGAACGGUUCAACGACGAACAGCUAACCGCAAACCGCAGUUUGCGGGACAGUCGUACUUGGCCAGCCGCGUCUUUAAUUAAUAACAU